GCCAGUGUGGUGUAGUGAUUUGGACGUUGGACUAUGGCUCUGGAGACCAGGGUUCAAUUCUCUGCUAAGCCA